rnacentral:lncRNA from 1 species
UUUGUUUUGAACUUUGUACCUAACCAACGUCACAUCCUCAACCAUCCAAUUUCAAAUGGUCGAUGAAGAUUAUGACCUCCUUAUAUCAAAAGCAAAUGGCCUCAUUGUAAACAUUUCCAAUGUAAAAAUAUUAGUUUCCUCAGCUUCACUCCUUGGUAGUAGAGGCUGUAGUGACAAAACUCUCUCUCUCUCUCUCUCUCUCUCUAUN